UACGUAGGGUCCAAGCGUUGUCCGGAUUUAUUGGGCGUAAAGAGCUCGUAGGCGGUUCGGUAAGUCGGAUGUGAAAACUCAGGGCUCAACCCGGAGACGCCAUCCGAUACUGCUGUGACUUGAGUCUGGUAGGGGAACACGGAAUACCUGGUGUAGCGGUGAAAUGCGCAGAUAUCAGGUGGAACACCGAUGGCGAAGGCAGUGUUCUGGGCCAGUACUGACGCUGAGGAGCGAAAGCGUGGGGAGCGAACAGG
rnacentral:rRNA from 1 species